rnacentral:rRNA from 1 species
GGUUAAGCGACUAAGCGUACACGGUGGAUGCCCUGGCAGUCAGAGGCGAUGAAGGGCGUGCUAAUCUGCGAUAAGCGCCGGUAAGGUGAUAUGAACCGUUAUAACCGGCGAUACCCGAAUGGGGAAACCCAGUGUGAUUCGUCACACUAUCAUUAACUGAAUCCAUAGGUUAAUGAGGCGAACCGGGGGAACUGAAACAUCUAAGUACCCCGAGGAAAAGAAAUCAACCGAGAUUCCCCCAGUAGCGGCGAGCGAACGGGGAGGAGCCCAGAGCCUGAAUCAGCAUGUGUGUUAGUGGAAGCGUCUGGAAAGGUGCGCGAUACAGGGUGACAGCCCCGUACACAAAAGCGCAUGUGCUGUGAGCUCGAUGAGUAGGGCGGGACACGUGGUAUCCUGUCUGAAUAUGGGGGGACCAUCCUCCAAGGCUAAAUACUCCUGACUGACCGAUAGUGAACCAGUACCGUGAGGGAAAGGCGAAAAGAACCCCGGCGAGGGGAGUGAAAAAGAACCUGAAACCGUGUACGUACAAGCAGUGGGAGCACAGGUUUACCUGUGUGACUGCGUACCUUUUUGUAUAAUGGGUCAGCGACUUAUAUUCUG